UACAGAGGUCCCAAGCGUUGUUCGGAUUCACUGGGCGUAAAGGGUGCGUAGGUGGUCAGGUAAGUCCGAUGUGAAAUCUCCAGGCUCAACCUGGAAAUGGCAUUGGAUACUAUCUGGCUUGAGGAGUGGAGGGGGGACUGGAAUUCUCGGUGUAGCAGUGAAAUGCGUAGAUAUCGAGAGGAACACCAGUGGCGAAGGCGGCUCACUGGCCCGGUACUGACGCUGAGGUGCGAAAGCGUGGGGAGCAAACAGG
rnacentral:rRNA from 1 species